AACGCACAUUGCACCCUCUGGUAUUCCGGAGGGUAUGCCUGUUUGAGUGUCAUUAAUAUGUCAACACAGGCAAGUUUUUUUCACGACUUGCUCUGCUGUUUGGAUGUUGAAGGCUUGCUGGCGGAUUUAUUUUGUCAGCUCCUUUUAAAUUCAUUAGCAGGAACCUUGCGGGACUGGCUUCAGUUUGAUAAGAUUGAACUGUUGCUAGAAUGCCCCUAUGGUUGUUCCGGCUUCUAAUUGUCUGGUAAAACUGGACUGUCUCGCUAGAGGCAAUUUAUGUUUGACAACUUGGCCUCAAAUCAGGUAGGACUACCCGCUGAACUUAA
rnacentral:misc_RNA from 1 species